UUCGCCCAUUAAAGCGGUACGCGAGCUGGGUUCAGAACGUCGUGAGACAGUUCGGUCCCUAUCCGUCGUGGGCGUAGGAAAUUUGAGAGGAGCUGUCCUUAGUACGAGAGGACCGGGAUGGACGCACCGCUGGUGUACCAGUUGUUCUGCCAAGGGCAUAGCUGGGUAGCUAUGUGCGGAAGGGAUAAGUGCUGAAAGCAUCUAAGCAUGAAGCCCCCCUCAAGAUGAGAUUUCCCAUAGCGUAAGCUAGUAAGAUCCCUGAAAGAUGAUCAGGUUGAUAGGUUCGAGGUGGAAGCAUGGUGACAUGUGGAGCUGACGAAUACUAAUAGAUCGAGGACUUAACCAUAUAA
rnacentral:rRNA from 1 species